rnacentral:tRNA from 1 species
UCGGGUGUGGCGCAGCGGUAGCGCAGCAGACUGUUAAUCUGUUGGUCGCUGGUUCGAAUCCAGCCACCCGAGCCA